UUUGAAGCAUGUAUUUUUAUACUUAGGCAUACGUGCCCACUGAGUACUUUUGUACUCAAGCCCUGCAUAUAUUUCUAAAUGUGCAGGUUGAGCAGCUGCUGAUGGUGAUGAAGUGACGAGCGGGACUCUUUUGUCUUAUUAUAUAUUAAUGAACUCUAGGGUUACAUGUCUUCAUACAUGUAAUCAGAACCUUAUUCCGCUGCGUACUCAGAAGUUUUAUGUUAUUUUGGAUAAGUCGGAGUUAUCCGAAUUUACUAGUUAUUUGAGUCUAUACGACUAAAUCUCCGUUAUAUUAUAAAUAUCCACGUUGUUAACAAUGAUGAAAUGCUAUCCUUCCUUGUUUAAUUAUUCCCCUUUCUACCCCGCUUCUAAUCUCCCUCCAUUAGUCACGGUUUCCCCGGCUUAAUUAUCCUUAAUUAGGGCCGGUCGUGACAGAGUGGUAUCAGAGUAGUUCAUUUGCUCUGAACCCUAGAGUUAACCCAUUUUUCUAGUAUGAUCACUAGUAUAUAUGAGUCAGUCAACCAAAGCUCAUCACUUCAUCACAUCGUCAUGCUCAGACCAGGAGGAAGAAGGUGUAAAGAGUUUAAAAGCUUUAGUAGUUACAUCGCAGAAGUGCUCAGCGUCUUUCAAGAUCCUAUUUAUGUCUUUUAUUAAGAAGAUCACUCAAUGAACUUAGAUGCGUUAAGAAUGCAUGAUCACUGUUACGAGAAGAACAAUAGAAGCUAGAAACUCAGUUAUAUUUCGCUAUAGCCAUGGUGAAGUGCCAAGAAAGCGAAAGAGAAUCCAAUGAAAGUGGUGCAAGCGGAGUGCCACGUACGAAUCACUGACGCAGGCAUAGUUCUUCAUUCAGGUUGUUCACGCGAGACGGAACACCUAAUCGACUAUUGCCUUAUUCGAUGAUAGUUUAAGUAUGAUAUUGCUUAUAGCGAUGAGUGCGACUUAUGUAAUCAGUUAGCUAAUCCCUAAUAAGACUGAGACUCGCUUCUAGCCUCGAUUAUCACUAGUUAUGGCUUGAGGAUAACUUUCAUGAUUCAUCAAUGAACUUCAGAGUUGGACUUACGAGGGGUCAAAAUGCUUUGUAUAUGAUGUUAAUAAUUUGAUUAAAGCUAUCAACUUAUAGUUUCAGAUAUUCGGAACCAUUCUGCUUACAGUACCUAUUGUAUUAGAUGAGGACAUGACUGAGAAUCCUUAUUGAUUACGAUCACCUACUACGAAUCAGAAAGACGAGAUGUGACAUGGGUACUAGAAGUUACCAACCAUUAUGAUUGAUCAUAAAAGUUUACGCAAGUGUGUAGGACGAGAGAAGUUCUCGAAGAUGGUUCAGAGUUUAAUAAUAGCUAGAAGCGCCGACAGUGGAUCGAUGCUGAAACAAAUGAAUUAAGAUUCUAAUGAGACCCUAAGGAUAUACUCAAGAUAAGUAUACAUACCUUAACCUAUCAAGGACAUCGCCUCAGUUAGAACGUCUUGGAUUAGGCAUUUAGUUUAGAAGCCGGAAUGAGAGCAUUGACUAAGGUCAUUCCAUGACUUAGCAUUACGUAUGGUGACACAUACCCUGCAAAGAUGCUCAGAGGAGCAAAAGCUAUUUCCUUAUGAAUGCGUGAUGAUUCACAAGGUCUUUUACAAUAACACGGAAGAAUGCUUCAAAUUAUAUGGUUGCAUUUCAAGCGCUAUGUGAAGGAACACUAAGUACUAGAAGUACUACAUUAAGAUCAUUUAGAGGAACAUUGUUGAGUAAGUUUGAAUACGUGAAAGGUCUUAUUUCGCCUAUAGAAGAUUUUAAGAAAGGAUGUUGAUUUAGAAACCAGACUUCAAGCUUGAGAAUCUCUAGAACAUUCUCAAGGAUAGAUUUCAGAUGUUAAGAAGAAAGUGGAGACUUUAGACCAUAAGCACCUUUUGCAGCCAAUGAUCAAGACGUACCAAGUUCGGAAAAGUAUUUCCGUGUGACUGAGAAGUAAUUGUGUUGGACCUGGCCAGUCCACAUGACCAAAAUCUCAGUAGUCGUCAUAUAUGGGUCUCUAAACCUAUAUAUUUUAAACCUUCAUCUGAAAAGCCAAACGGGUUCAGACUAUUAGGUCAUUUCGUUUCGACCUUUUAGUCAAUUCAUUUCUACCCUAUGGUUAUUCUUUUUCAAUUGUUUGGCAAAUUAUUGAAACACUUUGCCUAAUUGCCAUUUGUGAUUUGAAUCAUUGCGAUCUACUAGCUGUUGGUAGAUUUUCUGUGACCCAAGGAUAAACAGGUACUCACCAGAUUAAAUCAAUCAGACACGUAUGCCUCGACCCAAGGGUCAAGCACGUGACGCAACUAGACCAUCUCUUAUGAUUUUGGUAGGACAUUACUUGUGUAAUUUGGAAAUGAUGAUUGUUCCGAUAUUUUUGUAUACCCCUAUGUUGGCUUGGUUAUUUUGACUAAUAUUAGCACGGAAACACUAGUCCAUAGGGCAUUCCGUGACUCAGUUAUUUUGUGAUGGCUUUGCUAGACAACCAGUCCAUCACAUGUAGUACCUGGAUAGAUCAAUAUACCUAGAUUCAGAAGUUGACGAAAAGUCCUCAUUAAGGCAAUUUCCCAUGUCUACUUAGCGACCUUAUGGUCUUUUGCGGCGAGUCACUUCUGCCAUGUUUUACUUAUAUGCUUGCAUGAGAAAGAGUGCGAGCAAGAUUUGAGAAUCAAGAAAUGGUUUACAGAAGUGAUGAUAUACAACUGUAUGUUUUGAUGAUUUUAUGUCAACUCAUUAGUAUGCCACCAAGACAAGGGCAUCCAAGAAGAGGAGAAGAAUUCCCUAAGAUAAUGAAAGUACUAGGGCAAGAAAGAAAAAAACACAUAAGCCCUAUCACCGAUACAACUAGAACGUAGANUUAAUAAUCAGUCAAGGAGCUACUGUACCACAGAAAGUUUCAAUCAGGUGGGCAUUUCUUUAACUAUACGUAUAUAGAGAUCCCCUGCGUGUCGUAGGCCUCUUAUACGAAUGAAUGCAUGAGAUGAUUUAACUGUUAAUUUCAGUUUUAUGUAUCUAUCAAACGAGUUUAAUUCUACCUUUGAGCAAGUUAUUUCAUGACAAAAUCUUUGAGUUAAAGUUAUUUCAAGUAUUGUCUUGCCAUAAAAUGUUUCAAUUUUAGUAUGAUAUCUAUCUGCUUUGGCUUUGCCAAUGAUGCAAUCGAAUUCGGGUCCUGAGCAGUUGAUAGCUAUCCUGCCAGGGCUAGUGUACACCAGUGACCGUGAGUCAUCUAGCGGGUUGGCCGGUCAAGUGACCGUGAGAGGUGGCCACCUCUCCGGCACAAAGUUCCAGAUAUGAUAGAUUACAAGAGAACUUAGUCUGCAGACGAACUUUAAGAAUCACAAAUGAACUUAGUAAGCUUGGGCCUUUUUAGCGAAAAACUCCCUUGCUGUACUGUUUAUGAUGGCAUGACAAUUUACAGUUUUGAAGCAUGUAUUUUUAUACUUAGGCAUACGUGCCCACUGAGUACUUUUGUACUCAGCCCUGCAUAUAUUUCUAAAUGUGCAGGUUGAGUAGCUGCCGAUGGUGAUGAAGUGACGAGCGGGACUCUUUUGUCUUAUUAUGUAUUAAUGAACUCUAGAGAUACAUGUCUUCAUACAUGUAAUCAGAACCUUAUUCCGCUGCGUACUCAGA
rnacentral:lncRNA from 1 species